AUUGAACGCUGGCGGCAGGCUUAACACAUGCAAGUCGAGCGAGCGGCGGACGGGUGAGUAAUGUCUGGGAAAAUGCCUGAUGGAGGGGGAUAACUACUGGAAACGGUAGCUAAUACCGCAUACCAUCGGAUGUGCCCAGAUGGGAUUAGCUAGUAGGUGGGGUAAAGGCUCACGUAGGCGACGAUCACUAGCUGGUCUGAGAGGAUGACCAGCCACACUGGAACUGAGAAACGGUACAGACUCCCACGGGAGGCAGCAGUGGGUAAUAUUGCACAAUGGGCUCAAGCCUGAUGCAGCCAUGCCGCGUGUAGGAAGAAGGCCUUCGGGUUGUAAAGUACUUUCAGCGGGUAGGCGUUACCCGCAGAAGAAGCACCGGCUAACUCCGUGCCAGCAGCCGCGGUAAUUC
rnacentral:rRNA from 1 species